GAGCUGGGGCUGCCGCUGUCAUGGACGCCUGGGUCCGCUUCAGUGCUCAGAGCCAGGCCCGGGAGCGGCUGUGUAGGGCUGCCCAGUAUGCGUGCUCCCUUCUUGGCUAUGCACUGCAGAGACAUGGGGCCAGUCCUGAGUUACAGAAACAGAUUCGACAACUGGAAGGUCAUCUGAGCCUUGGGAGAAAGCUUCUACGCCUGGGUAACUCAGCAGAUGCCCUUGAGUCAGCCAAAAGAACUGUGCACCUAUCAGAUGUUGUCCUGAGAUUCUGCAUCACUGUUAGUCACCUCAAUCGAGCCUUAUACUUCGCCUGUGACAAUGUCCUGUGGGCUGGAAAGUCUGGACUAGCUCCCCGUGUGGAUCAGGAGAAGUGGGUCCAGCGUUCAUUCAGGUACUAUCUGUUUUCCCUUAUCAUGAAUUUGAGUCGUGAUGCUUACGAGAUUCGUCUGUUGAUGGAACAAGAGUCUUCAGCUUGUAGCCGGCGACUGAAGGGUUCUGGAGGAGGAGUCCCAGGAGGAAUUGAAACUGGAGGGCCUGGGGGACCAGGGACUCCAGGAGGAGGCCUACCCCAACUGGCUGUGAAGCUUCGGCUCCAAGUUCUGCUCCUGGUUCGAGUCCUUCGAGGUCAUCCUCCCCUUCUGUUGGAUGUUGUCAGAAAUGCCUGUGAUCUCUUCAUUCCACUGGACAAACUAGGCCUCUGGCGCUGUGGCCCUGGAAUUGUAGGGCUUUGUGGCCUUGUGUCCUCUAUCCUGUCUAUUCUCACUCUAAUCUGUCCCUGGCUACGACUCAAGCCCUGACAUUCUGGUACAGUAUAAGGAGGGGACCUGAACUGGUGAGAUGGAAUCUUAGAUCGUUCCCCAUGUACCAGCCUUAUUCUAAUUGUACUUCUUGGUGAAAGGUAAAAUCCAGAGAUUUAGAGGUUGAGGGAGGAGCUUUGAGGAAGAUGAGGUGAAGAAAGGUGACUUGUGAACCAAUGGGAUGAUUUUGAUACCCAGAUUUGUCUGAGCUUGUGUUCUUUUCCUCUUUCCUUGUCUGUGUCUCUCUUAGCUCUUUUUACUUGGUCUCUCUGAAGUCUAUUUAAGAUUCUGUCUCUAUGCAGCUCUCUUUUCACCUUCUCAGUCCCCUGUCCAGGAAUUUAAUCAGCAGAAUUACUUUUUGUUAAGGGAAGUAUAAGGUUUGGUCUGUAAUAUCCUAACUGCCUUCUUUUUUCUCACAGACAUGACUUGUGGCAGAUUUUUCCUCCUUCAGACUCCAAAUUAUAAUUUUUUUUUUCCUUUUUGUCUUUUUUACUAACCGGUAACAGGAUCACAACCCUCAGUGUCACGC